rnacentral:rRNA from 1 species
GACGAACGCUGGCGGCGUGCUUAACACAUGCACGUCGAACGGAAAGGCCCUGCUUUUGUGGGGUGCUCGAGUGGCGAACGGGUGAGUAACACGUGAGUAACCUGCCCUUGACUUUGGGAUAACUUCAGGAAACUGGGGCUAAUACCGGAUAGGAGCUCCUGCUGCACGGUGGGGGUUGGAAAGUUUCGGCGGUUGGGGAUGGACUCGCGGCUUAUCAGCUUGUUGGUGGGGUAGUGGCUUACCAAGGCUUUGACGGGUAGCCGGCCUGGGAGGGUGACCGGCCACAUUGGGACUGAGAUACGGCCCAGACUCCUACGGGAGGCAGCAGUGGGGAAUAUUGCACAAUGGGCGGAAGCCUGAUGCAGCAACGCCGCGUGCGGGAUGACGGCCUUCGGGUUGUAAACCGCUUUCGCCUGUGACGAAGCGUGAGUGACGGUAAUGGGUAAAGAAGCACCGGCUAACUACGUG